CUACGUGCCAGCAGCCGCGGUAAUACGGAAGGUCCGGGCGUUAUCCGGAUUUAUUGGGUUUAAAGGGAGCGUAGGCCGGAGAUUAAGUGUGUUGUGAAAUGUAGACGCUCAACGUCUGACUUGCAGCGCAUACUGGUUUCCUUGAGUACGCACAACGUUGGCGGAAUUCGUCGUGUAGCGGUGAAAUGCUUAGAUAUGACGAAGAACUCCGAUUGCGAAGGCAGCUGACGGGAGCGCAACUGACGCUUAAGCUCGAAGGUGCGGGUAUCGAACAGGAUUAGAUACCCUGGUAGUCCGCACAGUAAACGAUGGAUGCCCGCUGUUGGUACCUGGUAUCAGCGGCUAAGCGAAAGCAUUAAGCAUCCCACCUGGGGAGUACGCCGGCAACGAUGAAACUCAAAGGAAUUGACGGGGGCCCGCACAAGCGGAGGAACAUGUGGUUUAAUUCGAUGAUACGCGAGGAACCUUACCCGGGCUUGAAUUGCAGAGGAAGGAUUUAGAGAUA
rnacentral:rRNA from 1 species